GACGAACGCUGGCGGCGUGCUUAACACAUGCAAGUCGAACGCUGAAGCUUGGUGCUUGCACUGGGUGGAUGAGUGGCGAACGGGUGAGUAAUACGUGAGUAACCUGCCCUUGACUCUGGGAUAAGCCUGGGAAACUGGGUCUAAUACUGGAUACGACAUGCCACUGCAUGGUGGUGUGUGGAAAGGGUUUUACUGGUUUUGGAUGGGCUCACGGCCUAUCAGCUUGUUGGUGGGGUAAUGGCCUACCAAGGCGACGACGGGUAGCCGGCCUGAGAGGGUGACCGGCCACGCUGGGACUGAGACACGGCCCAGACUCCUACGGGAGGCAGCAGUGGGGAAUAUUGCACAAUGGGCGGAAGCCUGAUGCAGCGACGCCGCGUGAGGGAUGACGGCCUUCGGGUUGUAAACCUCUUUCAGCACGGAAGAAGCGAGAGUGACGGUACGUGCAGAAGAAGCGCCGGCUAACUACGUG
rnacentral:rRNA from 1 species